CAUUCUGCCCUUUUCGAUGCUCCUUUUCUCUUCUCAUUUAAGUACCAGGAGGAGCUCUUCUUUCUGAGGGUGAACAAGAUCACCUGAUUCCUCCACCUCGCGGUGCCUUUUGGAGAGUGACUUCUUUGUUGCUGCUGGCUGAAUGAUUGCUCAUUCAUUCCUCCAUGAUGGGCCGGGCCUUGGAGGACUCAGCCCAGCUGUUCUGCAUGUGCUCUUUGGUGGAAGCCCAGAAGAAGUCAUGAUGAACAUAUCAAGGACUGUGCUGACCUCGAUAUCCGCAAGACAGUCAAAGUGAUCAUUUCAACCAGACAGACAAAUGAGCGUUGAAGUUCACACUCACAAUGUUCACAUUGUGUCUUUUUUGUGCUGCACACAGAUGUUGGAACUUGGAAGAAGCUCAAGACGGGUUAAACAGUUACGAAGGGGCUUAAAAGAGACGCUGAUCUGGCCUUUGCUAACUGAGAGGAGAGACACAAUUCCCCUCCUCUUUCCAAGAGCAUGUGAUGUACAGCGCACACCACAGAGCACAACUUGUUGAAUUCAGCCCUUCACCCUU
ensembl:lncRNA